rnacentral:rRNA from 1 species
UACGUAGGGUGCGAGCGUUGCCCGGAUUUAUUGGGCGUAAAGGGCGCGUAGGCGGCCACGCACGUCCGUUGUGAAAUCGCCCGGCUCAACUGGGCGGGGUCAGCGGAUACGGUGUGGCUCGAGCAAGCUAGGGGGCAAUGGAAUUCCCGGUGUAGUGGUGGAAUGCGUAGAUAUCGGGAGGAACACCAGUGGCGAAGGCGGUUGCCUGGAGCUUUGCUGACGCUGAGGCGCGAAAGCGUGGGGAGCGAACGGG